ensembl:snRNA U6 U6 spliceosomal RNA
GUGCUCUCUUUGGCAGCACACACACUAACGUUGGAACGAUACAGAGAAGAUUAGCAUGGCCCCUACGCAAGGAUGACACACAAAUUUGUGAAGCGUUCAUAUUAAAA